rnacentral:rRNA from 1 species
AUUGAACGCUGGCGGCAGGCCUAACACAUGCAAGUCGAACGAGUGGCGGACGGGUGAGUAAUGUCUGGGAAACUGCCUGAUGGAGGGGGCUAACUACUGGAAACUGUAGCUAAUACCGCAUACAAUCGGCUAUGCCCAGAUGGGAUUAGCUAGUAGGAGGGGUAAAGGCACACCUAGGCCACGAUCCCUAGCUGGUCUGAGAGGAGGACCAGCCACACUGGAACUGAGACACGGUCCAGACUCCGACGGGAGGCAGCAGUGGGGAAUAUUGCACAAUGGGCGCAAGCCUGAUGCAGCCAUGCCGCGUGUAUGAAGAAGGCCUUCGGGUUGUAAAGUACUUUAAGCGGGGAGGCGUUACCCGCAGAAGAAGCACCGGCUAACUCCGUGCCAGCAGCCGCGGUAAUAC